GAGAUGUUGCCUAAGGUACAUGAGGUUUAGGCACCAUUGGCUGCCCCCCACAAAAAGAAAAAAGGUUAUUUUUGCCCAUUUCCAACAGGUAACUUUGGUUUGUAAAAUGUGACAUGUUAACAUUUUCUCCUUAACCUCCCCUACCAUAAACGUAAAUCACGAAAGAAAACUAAAUUCCCAUAAGCCAGUCACUGGUUCAAAUAAAUACACAGGGGUGUAUAUAGGAAGAAUACAUCUAGGUCUUAAACACUAAGGCAGUUUUUAGCAAUGCAUAUGCUUUUAGACAAAAUACAGAAAACCACUCAGUUGCUGUAGGAAGCUUAUUACAGUGAAAUUUACUUAUGUUUGUAGUAGUUUUCAAAACACUGUUUCACUUGGUAUUUGUCCCUCCUAAAAUUUUUUAACUCUAAAGGUAGGCACAGACUCUGGGCAGAAUUCUGCAAUCACAGCAGAGGCUCAUUCUUAGUCCCUUCACAAUAUAUUCAUAGGAUUAAGAUUCCGACAUUAGGUAGUAAAAGCAUCAUCUGGGAAAUAGAUUUUGAUGCCCUCUGAGUCAGAUAAGCUGAAAUAAUCACUUUGAGGUGAUUGAGAAGGCAUUAAUGGCACACUGGCACAGCCAGGUCUGAUGGGGGAACUGUGACAUGCCUUUUGGGUCAGUGCUACAUCAAGAGUAGGAACGUUCAUGGAGUAGAUAGCAUGUUACCAUUGGAAACUUUUAGGUAAGGUAUUGAUUAUUUGAACAUGAUCUUCAUUGAUUUUAGAUUCUUAGAUAUGGCAGAGGUAUUGCCCCCAUCUGGAUUUCUGGUGAAAAUAUUCCUCAAGAAAAGGAUAUUCCAGAUUGCCCCUGUGGUGCCAAGAGAAUAUUGGAAUUCCAGGUCAUGCCUCAGCUCCUAAACUACCUGAAGGCUGACAGACUGGGCAAGAGCAUUGACUGGGGCAUCCUGGCUGUCUUCACCUGUGCUGAGAGCUGCAGCUUGGGUACUGGCUAUACAGAAGAAUUUGUGUGGAAGCAGGAUGUAACAGAUACACCGUAAAGGCAUCUUAAAGCCUUGAAAAAUGUUAAUAAUCUUUUAUACCUUGCAAUUCCAUUUCUGGGAUUUUAUCCUAAGGAAAUACUUAUACCAAAAAUAGAGGUGCAGAGAUGUUGAUGAAUUGCUUACACAGUGUCUACUUAUUAGUGAAACAAAAGUGUCCAGUGACAGGGAAUUAAAUAAAUUUUGGUACAUCCACAGUGGAAGGCUACAGUCUUAAUUAUAACACCUAUAUUGACAACAGACAUACCAUUAUAGGUGGUAUUCAUGGUAUGAGUCUAUUCUUGUAAAAAUAUUUGUAUGCACAGAAAUCUGCAAAGAUGUACACUUAGUGCACUGGUUACCAACGAAUGGUGGGACUAACUAAAAUGGUCUUUUUACUUAUAUGUGCAUUUCUUUUUAUAAUAAAAAUGGGUUAUGUGCCUAAUGAAGUCAAACCAUCUCACUCUGAGAGCAUUUCCCAACCUAAGUUUUUUAAAACACAAAAAUACUUGGUAAAACUCCAACAAACUUGUCUGAUCAUUAGGUGAUUAUCACAGGCUCUAGUAUGUACUGGAAGCCCAGAAUAUUACAAAAAUACCAAACCUCAGGUUGGUGAGUAUGAUGAACAGGAAACCCAGUAAUUCUGAAGCAGCAGUAUCACAGUUGGCAGGAUCAGGAACAACAGUGGCUUUGUGAUCACAGAACUGGAAUUUAAAGAGGCUCUACCUUCAGAACUGAUCUUUGUCAGCCAGUGGCCCUGCUUACAGAUGAGACACUGAAAUGCAAAAGGCGAUGGUCUUCCCUUUCCAUGUCAGCAUUGUAUACAGGUUCCCUGUCGCAUAUACAAGGGUUAUGGAAUGUAAGCCAAAAUAAGGGUCUGGCCUAGGAGGCAGCAGCCUGAGGAAAGGAAGGCCCUGAAGUCAGUUUUCAAAGGGCUGACCCUUGGCCUAUUAUGUUUCUGAUACAUUUGUUUAAGCAAGUGGCUCCUAAGACUACACUAAGGUUUCUUCCGUCCCCUAGCAGCUCACAAUUGACAAUUCCCAGUUCUCUCAGCACCAGUGAUGCCUGCCCUGAAGACACAUUGCUGUUGAUCAGUGCUUGAAUACUGCUGGCUAAUUCUGAUAAAUUUCUCAGGCUUAUUUCCUUAAUCUACAUUGGCUCACAUUGUCCCCUAACACAUCCCUGUUAACUGAAAUGCAUUGCCACCAUAAAUCCUCACGUUUUCAUAGGUAACAUCACUUGCUAAUGUAAUUGUCUACUUGGCUAUUUUAUUUGUAAUUUAAAAAGUUCUGUCCUAGUAGUCCGUAUUAUAUAAGUAUAUAUAUGCAAUUUGUAUUAAUUGUGUAAGAUAGUUAUACAUAGCACCAUAUGGGAAACUGCAGUAUGGAGUUUCUCCCAUGGGGAGGUUAUCAGCUACUUAAGAGCUAGAGGAUACUAGUUUCGAACCUGGGAUGGCUAAAUCUAUGAGAAUCACCUAUAACUAUGGUGUCACAGCCUGUGGCUACUGGAGUAAGUUGUCAUCAACUAGUGACAAGAGUUGGUCGCAACACUUAGUAGGAAGCACAGUGGUGUAAGGAAACCUGGACUAGUGGGGCCUUCAUAUCUAAAAUUAUGUAUUAUUCCCUAUAGGCAGAAUCUGUAAGUACGUUAUGACUGCUAAGGGCUUUUAAAGCAAACAUGUUACGAUCUUUCUAUGGUAAAAACUGUUAUUUGGGGACAUCACCAGAUGAUGUGGACAUUCUUGCAGGUAUUCUGGUGUACCCAGGCAAGCUGUCAUUGGUGUAUAUUCCAGUUAACCUCUGGAGAUGAUCAUAACAGUUUACAGGGCCUUUCCAUUUGGGACGGAUAUAUCAAGAGGGAGACAAACUGGUCCAAAUCACCAGAAAGAAAAUCUCACAGCACCGACUUGGCAUCUGUGUUAAAAAAUAGCAACUAUAUUUAAAAUAAACUGUACAACAUAAAAAAUUUAAAUUAAAAAAUGCAUUAAGCAAGUUGCCUUUAGAAAUGUGAAGACAUUUUAAAACACUACAAGAUAAUGAGCAAGUCUCACCUAAAUAAUCAUGGCUCCACAGACGGUACCAGUCCAUGCAUCCACCAUUUCUCAACACCUACAAAGUUUUAAGAUCUGCUUGGUUCAGAUACUGUCCAGCCACAGCAGCUCCCCUGUGCUGUAGAGAGCAGCAUAUUCAGCUUUGCCUUUUUAUUUCAGAUACUGAAUAUCCUUUGACAAUUUCAGAUAUCACAGC
rnacentral:sRNA from 1 species